UACGAAGGGGGCUAGCGUUGCUCGGAAUCACUGGGCGUAAAGCGCACGUAGGCGGACUCUUAAGUCGGUGGUGAAAUCCUGGAGCUCAACUCCAGAACUGCCUUCGAUACUGGGAGUCUCGAGUUCGGGAGAGGUGAGUGGAACUGCGAGUGUAGAGGUGAAAUUCGUAGAUAUUCGCAAGAGCACCAGUGGCGAAGGCGGCUCACUGGCCCGAUACUGACGCUGAGGUGCGAAAGCGUGGGGAGCAAACAGG
rnacentral:rRNA from 1 species